rnacentral:lncRNA from 1 species
GGAACAUUCACCUCCAUCAGGAACUUCUCACAGUAGUCAGUCAGAUCCUGAGCCAAUGGAGAGAUUUGCCCUAAGCUUUCGUGAUGACAUGGAAGUUACUACACAAGUUAAGGAACCUCAGCCAACUUCUGUUAGUUUGAAAGAAUCCCACUCAAUAUACGGAGAGCAGGAUCAGAAUGUCAUUGAACAUUCAAAUCGCAGUCAAGAUACCUUACUUGAGGUAUUGCCACUUGAACGAUUGGAAGAUUUGUCAACUGGAGUAUGUUUUCUUCCAGACAGUGAGAAUAACAAGGUGACAGCUUUUCU